rnacentral:rRNA from 1 species
CCAAUAGCGUAUAUUAAAGUUGUUGCAGUUAAAAAGCUCGUAGUUGAAUUUCGGGAUUUAUCCGUCGGUCGGGCUUUUGGGUCUGUACUGGCGUGAUGGAUUCCUACCUUCUGAAUAACCGGCAUGUCAUUAAUUUGGUGCGCUGGGGAAGCAGGACUGUUACCUUGAAAAAAUUAGAGUGCUUAAAGCAGGCUAUUGCCUGAAUACAUUAGCAUGGAAUAAUGAAAUAGGACGGCAUGGUUCUAUUUUGUUGGUUUCUAGGAUCACCGUAAUGAUUAAUAGGGAUAGUUGGGGGCAUUAGUAUUCAAUUGUCAGAGGUGAAAUUCUUGGAUUUAUUGAGGACUAACUUCUGCGAAAGCAUUUGCCAAGGAUGUUUUCAUUAAUCAAGAACGAAAGUUAGGGGAUCGAAGACGAUCAGAUACCGUCGUAGUCUUAACCAUAAACUAUGCCGACUAGGGAUCGGACGAUGUUAAUUUUUUAAUGACUCGUUCGGCGCCUUACG